CUGACGUGGGGCUCGAACCCACACACCUUAAGAUCAUGACCCGAGCCGAAGUUGAAUGCUUAACCGACUGAGACCCCCCGGUGCCCCUCUCCCUCUCCUUAUAAGAGCCACCAGUCCUACCGGAUUAGAUUGCUCCAACAUGGCCUCAUCUAACCCUAAUUACCUCCUAAAGGCCCCAUCUCCAAAUAUAGCCACGCCGGGGGUUAGGGCCUCAACCUCUGAAUUUUGGUGGGGCCCAGUCCAGUCCCCAGCACCACCCAUUAGAAAGAGGAGCCAGCCAGCAGCCCAGUCUCGAAUGCAGGCGGUCACACAGAGCUCCGUCCCUGGCUCAGUCCCAAACCCUCCCACCAGAAUCCUAGAACCAGAGCGCCUGCGAGCAGAAGCCGGCAGAGCUGCGUGCGCUCAACUGUGCGUCAAUCAGGGAGCUUAGCUGAAGCAGCUGAAGUUAAUUUUGCUCAUUAAAGCCAAGCGGAAAUGCAUUAAAUGCUACGGAGCAGCUCACAGGACGGGCCAGACAUCUAGGUCUGGAGGCUGCGGGGCCGGGAGCGCUGUUCGACGUCGCUCUGCAGAGCUGUCCCGGGGCAGGCACCUGGGACGGUGGGAACGGACACCUCCACGUGUGCUAGUGACCCCGAUAGUGAAUGGCUGGCCACUGCGGCUUGAGCCCAACCCUGGAAGCCGCUAGAACUGCCACGAAGUAGAACGGGAUUAUCCGAAGCCUGUUUUUUUUUUUUUUUUUUUUUCCCCUACACACCAGGAGUAGAAUUCAGAAUAAUUUUGCUCCACCAAAAGAGACACUUGUGUAAAAUUCUCAGGGUGCAGAGUCCUAGCUGGCCCUGCUCCCAUGAGAGAGGGCGGUGAGCAACAGAGUGCAACCCUACUCAUCCUUCCAGGCCUGAUGUAGAUGUCGCCACCUCCAGGAAGCCCUCUCUGACUGUGCCAGGUGGAACUGGCUUCUCCUUCCCGAUGUUUGCGCCUCCCUUGCCUCUCAGGAGCGGUGACCGUGAACGUGGGGGUGGAAGGAGCCCAGCCUGACCCUUUGCAGAUCCACGUUGGAGUCCUGGGCCCAUCACCUACCGAUUCCACAAGGUCCUCAGCACCUGUGCUGCGGGGGAGGGAUGCCAACCCUGUCCUAAGACCCUCACCAUUCACACUGUCACCCUCAAAAAGUUAUUCCAACAGCAGCCGAGACUGUGGCUGUCACAGGGCGUUAUCUGGGCCAUCUUUCCUGGAUCCCAGGGCCCGGACCCCAGAGGUGCUGGCGCUGUCCCACGCACGUGGCUUCAUGCCCAGCGCCAAACCCAAUGUGGGGCUUGAACUCAGGACCCCAAGAUCAAGACCUGACCUGAGAUCAAGAGUCGGAUGCUCAACUGACCGAGCCACCCAGGGGCACCCAGGUGCCCCGGGACUUUUCACUUUGUGAGUGUACAUAUAAUUUAGAGUGAAGGUGUGUGUCCCCACAAAACACGGGUGUUGCACUAACCCUGGAGGGGAAUGUAUUAGGAGGUGGGGCCUUCGGGAGGUCACGAGGUCAUGAGGGUGAAGCCCCUGCACGUGGGAUUAGUGCUCUUAUCAAAGAAGCUCCCGAGAGCCCCCUUCUUCUUCUGUCCUCUGAGGACCCAGUGAGAAGAUGGCCGUCUACCAAUCAGGAAGCAGUCCUCAUUGGACACUGAAUCUGCAGGGACCUUGAUCUUGGAGUUGCAGCCUCCAGAGCUGUGAAAAUAAAAGUCUGUUGUGUACGAGCCUUCCAGUCUCUGGUAUUCGGUUACAGUUGGCCACACUGGACAAAGACAACACACACACACACACACACACACACACACACACACACACCCAUUCCGGAGUGAUGGGACCUUACACUUACUCUUUGUGCCUCCAAUCAUGCUGUGCUGUGCUCCCUUCCCUGUGCCCCUGGUGGGGACACACCUGCAGGAGACACACCCCAGUGUCUGGGGGGGUGUGUGUGCACACGCUUAGGGGCACUCCGGCAUGGCUGUGUGCAAUCCUGCGGCGGUCUGCCCUCCCGGCCGGGUGGGGAGCCCUGUUGCCGCAAGCUCACACCUGCCCUUGCUCCUGUCUGACCUUCUGGGUCCU